rnacentral:rRNA from 1 species
UACGAAGGGGGCAAGCGUUGUUCGGAUUUAUUGGGCGUAAAGGGUGCGUAGGUGGUUGUACAAGUCGGAUGUGAAAACCCUUGGCUUAACCAAGGACCUGCAUUCGAAACUGUACGGCUUGAGUACAGAGGAGGUGAGUGGAAUUCUCAGUGUAGCGGUGAAAUGCGUAGAUAUUGAGAAGAACACCUGUGGCGAAAGCGGCUCACUACUCUAGUACUGACACUGAGGCACGAAAGUUAGGGGAGCAAACGGG